GUGCAGUGAUGCAAUUUCAGCUCAUUGCAAGCUCCGCCUCCCGGGUUCACACCAUUCUCCUGCCUCAGCCUCCCGAGUAGCUGGGACUACAGGCGCCCACCACCACGCCCGGCUAAUUUUUUGUAUUUUUAGUAGAGAUGGGGUUUCACCGUCUUAGCCAGGAUGGCCUCAAUCUCCUGACCUCGUGAUCCACCUGCCUCGGCCUCCCAAAGUGCUGCAAUUACAAGCGUGAGCCACCACGCCUGGCCUAUAAUGUGCUUUUGACCGGUGCAUAUUAUUCUAUUGUAUUCAUAUGCCAAAGCUUAUCUUUUCCUCUAGUCACAAAUACUUAUAUUUUUCCUAGCUAUUUCCACUUCUGCAAGCUUAUACAUGUCUUCCUAUGAAGGAAGAAUGCCCUUUCAGGAAACCUGCCCUUUCAUUUCUUUGCUAUAUAUGUCCUAGAGUAGAAAGGCUGGAGUUUGAGGUAUAUGCAUAUUUAAUUUAAGUCAUGCUGGAUCGUUCUCAGGAAUGGUUGUCACAGUUUUCCUUUCCACAAGCAAGACCUGAGGGUUUCAUUUUCUCUUCAUUUUCAGUAGCACUUGAUAUUUUCUGAUUUUUGCUAAUCUGAUGUGUAUAAAAUUGUAUUUUUUCUUAAUCUGCAUUAUCUGAUUACUGAUGAAGGUGAGUAUUUGCUUUUUAGUCAUUCCGAUUUUCCAUUCUGUGGAUGGUCUGUACUUAUAAUUUGUCUCUUUUCUAUUAAGUUUUUCUUUCUUGCUGAUUACAGUAUAGUAUAUACAGUGUGUGCAUGUGUGUGUAUAUAUAUGUGUGUGUAUAUAUAUGUGUAUAUAUAUGUGUGUGUGUAUAUAUAUGUGUAUAUAUGUGUGUGUGUGUGUGUAUAUAUAUAUAUAUAUUUUUUUUUUUUUUUUUUUGACACAAGGUCUGGCUCUGUCGCCCAGACUGGAGUGCAGUGGUGUGAUCUCACCUCACUGCAACCUCUACCUCCUGAGCUCAAACCAUCCUCCCACCUCAGCCUCCCAAGUUGCUGGGACUAAAGGCGCGUACCACCACGCUUGGCUAAUUUUUGUGUUUUUUUGUAGAGAUGGGGUUUCUCCAUGUUGCCUAAGCUGGUCUCGAACUCGUGAGCUCAGGAGAUCUGCCUGCCUCUCUGCCCCCAAAGUGGUGGGAUUACAGGUGUGAGCCACUGCUCCCAGCCAAGAAAUUCUUUAUAUGUAGAUACUAUUUUCUUGUCAAGUUCAGAUGUUGGAAAUAACUUGCCAUUUGUUCAUUCUUGUCUUUGUUGUUUUUCAUAUAAUAGAAAUCCCCCCAAUGUUUUAUAUCUUUUAUGUCUUUAUUUUGUUUUGUUUUGUUUUUGAGAUGGAGUUUCCCUCUUGUUGCCCAGGCUGGAGUGCAGUGGCACAGUCUUGGCUCACUGUAACCUCCGCCUCCCGGGUUCAAGCGAUUCUCCUGCCUCAGCCUCCUGAGUACCUGGAACUACAGGCAUAUGCCACCACACCUAGCUAAUUUUUUUUGUAUUUUUAGUAGAGACAGGAUUUCGCCAUGUUGGCCAGGCUGGUCUCGAACUCCUGACCUCAGGUGAUCUGCCCACCUCGGCCUCCCAAAGUGCUGGGAUUACAGGCAUGAACGACCACGCCCAGCCAGAGUCUGCAUUUUCUAGCCACCUCAUUUGUAGUUAAGUUCUAGCCAAUGGGAUGUAAGUGAAAGUGAUGCAUGUGACUUUGAGAUCAUGUCCUUAAAAGUACUGGGGCUUGCAACAGGUAUAUGAAAAAAUGCUCAACAUCACUAAUCAUCAGGGGAAUGCAAAUUAAAGCCACAACGAGACAUCAUCUCAUACCUGUUAAAGUGGCCAUAAUAAAGACAAAAGAUAAGAGUUGGCGAGGGUAUGGAGAAAAGGGAAGUCUUGCACAUUGUUGGUGGGAAUGUAAAUCAGUUCAGCCAUCAUGGAAAACAGUUAUGGAGAUUCCUAAAGAAAAUAAAAAAUAGAACAACCAUAUCAUCCAGCAGUCCCAUUACUGGGUAUAAAUACAAGGGAAAUGAAAUCAGUAAUCAAAGAGAUAGCUACAUUCUUGUGUUCAUUGCAGGAUUAUUCACAAUAGCCAAGAUAAGGAAUCAAUCUAAGUGUCCAUCAAUUGGUGAAUGGAUUAAGAAAAUGUGAUAUAUAUACAUAAGGGAAUACUAUUCAGCCUUCAAAAAAGAAGGAAAUCUUGUCAUUUUUGGCUACGUGAAUGAACCUGGAGGAUAUUAUGUUAAGUGAAAUAAGCCAGGCACAGAAAGACAAAUACCACAUGAUCUCAUAAGUGGAAUCUAAAAAGUUAAAGUCAGAGAGUAGAAUGGCAGCUACCAGGAGAUGGGGGGUGGGGGGAAUUGGGAGUUAUUGGUCACGGCAUACAAAAUUUUAGGAAUAAAGUUCAACACAUCUAUUGUAGAACAUGGAGACUAUAGUUAAUAACAAUGCAGUGCCUGUAGUCCCAGCUAUUAGGAAGGCUGAGGCAGGAGGAUCACUUGAGCCCAGGAGUUCCAGGCUGCAGUGACCCCUGGUCACACCACUGCACUCCAGCCUGGCUACAGAGUGAGACCCUGACUCCAAAAACAAACAACAAUGUGUACUUGAAAAUUGCGAAGAGAGAUUUUAAGUGUUUUCACAAGUAUGUGAGGUCAUGCAUAUGUUAAUCAACUUGAUUUAGCCAUUUCACUAUACAUAUUUUGAACAGUAUGUUGUACGCCAUAAAUAUAUACAAUUUUUGUCAAUUUUAAAAAUAGAUUUUUAAAAACUACUGGAGCAUGCAUUUCCCUUGCCCUGCCUCUCCUUCUGUUGAGGUAGGAGUGAGAAUUCUGCAGCCAUUUCAGACACUGAGAGACAAGUUGUCUGUCAAGUUUGACAAAGCAGCUGUAUCGGCUGUGGACCACUCACCUCUGUAAUUUGAGAAAUAAACUUUU
rnacentral:lncRNA from 1 species